AUUGAACGCUGGCGGCAGGCCUAACACAUGCAAGUCGAGCGGAUCGGCGGACGGGUGAGUAAUGCCUAUGAAUCUGCCUCGUAGUGGUGGAUAACGUUCGGAAACGGGCGCUAAUACUACAUACUAUCAGAUGAGCCUAGGUCGGAUUAGCUUGGUGGUGGGGUAAAGGCCGACCAAGGCGACGAUCCGUAACUGGUCUGAGAGGAUGAUCAGUCAAACUUGAACUGAGAAACGGUCCAGACUCCUAAGGGAGGGAGCAGGGGGGAAUAUUGCAAAAUGGGCGCAAGGCUGAUGCAGCCAUGCCGGGUGUAUGAAGAAGGCCUUAGGGUUGUAAAGUAAUUUCAGCGGGGAGGCGUUACCCGCAGAAGAAGCAACGGCUAACUCCGUGCCAGCCGCCGCGGUAAUAC
rnacentral:rRNA from 1 species